GACGAACGCUGGCGGCGUGCUUAACACAUGCAAGUCGAACGAUGAAGCCGGAGCUUGCUCUGGUGAAUUAGUGGCGAACGGGUGAGUAACACGUGAGUAACCUGCCCUUGACUCUGGGAUAACUGCGGGAAACUGUAGCUAAUACCGGAUACGACCCUCGGAGGCAUCUCCUGGGGGUGGAAAGAAUUUCGGUCAAGGAUGGACUCGCGGCCUAUCAGCUAGUUGGUGAGGUAAAGGCUCACCAAGGCGACGACGGGUAGCCGGCCUGAGAGGGUGACCGGACACACUGGGACUGAGACACGGCCCAGACUCCUACGGGGGGCAGCAGUGGGGAAUAUUGCACAAUGGGCGCAAGCCUGAUGUAGCAACGCCGCGUGAGGGAUGACGGCCUUCGGGUUGUAAACCUCUUUUAGCAGGGAAGAAGCGAAAGUGACGGUACCUGCAGAAAAAGCACCGGCUAACUACGUGCAGCCGCCGCGGUAA
rnacentral:rRNA from 1 species